GACAGAGGGGGCAAGCGUUGCUCGGAAUUACUGGGCGUAAAGGGCGCGUAGGCGGGAUGGCAAGUCGGUCGUGAAAUCCCUCGGCUCAACCGAGGAACGUCGAUCGAUACUGCUGUUCUUGAGGAUUGCAGAGGAGACUGGAAUUCCUGGUGUAGCGGUGAAAUGCGCAGAUAUCAGGAGGAACACCGGUGGCGAAGGCGGGUCUCUGGGCCGAAAUUGACGCUGAGGAGCGAAAGCGUGGGGAGCAAACAGG
rnacentral:rRNA from 1 species